rnacentral:rRNA from 1 species
AACGAACGCUGGCGGCAUGCCUAACACAUGCAAGUCGAACGAUACCUUCGGGUCUAGUGGCGCACGGGUGCGUAACGCGUGGGAACCUGCCCUUAGGUUCGGAAUAACUCCCCGAAAGGGGUGCUAAUACCGGAUAAUUUCUUCGUACCAAAGAUUUAUCGCCUUUGGAUGGGCCCGCGUUGGAUUAGCUAGUUGGUAGGGUAAAAGCCUACCAAGGCGACGAUCCAUAGCUGGUCUGAGAGGAUGAUCAGCCACACUGGGACUGAGACACGGCCCAGACUCCUACGGGAGGCAGCAGUGGGGAAUAUUGGACAAUGGGCGAAAGUCUGAGACAGCAAUGCCGCGUGAGUGAUGAAGGCCUUAGGGUUGUAAAGCUCUUUUACCCGGGAUGAUAAUGACAGUACCGGGAGAAUAAGCUCCGGCUAACUCCGUG